rnacentral:rRNA from 1 species
CCUACGGGUGGCAGCAGUAGGGAAUAUUGCUCAAUGGGGGCAACCCUGAAGCAGCCACGCCGCGUGGAGGAAGACGGUUUUCGGAUUGUAAAAUCCCUUUGUUAGAGAAGAAAAUGCCGGUAUCUCAAGAAUAAGCACCGUUUAAAUCCGUGACAGCAGCCCCGGUAAUACGGCGGGUGCCAGCGUUACUCGGAUUAACUGGGCUUAAUGCGCGCGUAGGCGGGCGAGCAAGUCAGAGGUGAAAUCCUAUGGGUUAAACAUAGAACUGCAUUUGAAACUGUUAUUCUAGAGUAUGGGAGAGGGAGGGGGAAUGUGUGGUGUAGGGGUAAAAUCCGUAGAGAGCAAGAAGAAUACUGAUUGCGAAGGCGACCUACUAGAACAUAACUGACGCUGAGGCGCGAAAGCGUGGGGAGCAAACAGGAUUAGAUACCCCUGUAGUC